GACGUAGGAGGCGAGCGUUAUCCGGAUUUACUGGGCGUAAAGCGUGUGUAGGCGGUUUGGAAAGUUGGAUGUGAAAGCUCCUGGCUCAACUGGGAGAGGUCGUUCAAUACUUCCAGACUAGAGUAUGGUAGAGGGAGGUGGAAUUCCGGGUGUAGUGGUGAAAUGCGUAGAUAUCCGGAGGAACACCAGUGGCGAAAGCGGCCUCCUGGACCAUUUCUGACGCUCAGACACGAAAGCUAGGGUAGCAAACGGG
rnacentral:rRNA from 1 species